GGACUACCCGGGUUUCUAAUCCCGUUCGCUCCCCUAGCUUUCGCGCCUCAGCGUCAGUUGCAAGCUAGCAAGCCGCCUUCGCCACUGGUGUUCCUCCCGAUAUCUACGCAUUUCACUACUACACCGGGAAUUCCACUUGCCUCUCUUGCACUCCAGCCCCGCAGUUUUGGACGCAGUUUCGAGGUUGAGCCUCGAACUUUCACAACCAACUUGCGGAACCGCCUACGCGCUCUUUACGCCCAGUAAAUCCGGAUAACGCUCGCCCCCUACGUAUUACCGCGGCGGCUGGCAC
rnacentral:rRNA from 1 species